CCCUGCCAUUUGUACACACCGCCCGUCGCUCCUACCGAUUUCGAGUGAUUCGGUGAACCUUUUGGACAGUGCUGGUUCCGUACCGGCGUUGAAAAUCAAGUAAACCAUAUCACUUAGAGGAAGGAGAA
rnacentral:rRNA from 1 species